rnacentral:lncRNA from 1 species
CAGGGUUUUAUUUAUUUGUACUAUUUUCUAGUUGUAUAGAUUCUGUUGUAUCAUAUUGUUAUGAUAGUAAAAAUAUAAUACUGUAAGAUUUCAUAUUGCACAUGAAAUCAAACUCCUGUUCUGCAAUGGUAAAUGUUUUUUAAUCUUUCCUCGCUUGGCAGAUAUUUAUGAGGUAUGUGUGUGCAUGUGUCCAUCAGUGGACCAUGUCGGUCUGUCCUUGCCUUGCCAACGUGUCCUGUUGCGACCACGACAGGUGCACAUGAAUAUGAACCAGCCAGCCAACCUUUUAAGGCAGUGGUGUAUUAAUCAUACACAACCCAAAUGCCUACUAUAAUAAUGAUGGGCCCAAUGGUCACCUUCACCUGAAUAUUCAUGACAAAUGUCAUCAUAUCCUUUCAUUCUAAAAUAGAGAAUAGACUGAUGCCUAAUGUUCUGCUGUGGUCUUUGUGGUUUCUCUUCAGGGGCUGUGCUGUAUUCAUGCGCGUUCUGUCAUAUUCUCCAAACUGACAGCAGCACACAAACCGAGGCAGGGAGGAAGCUGUAUAGCCUACGACCUGGAGAGAAAGAGAUCGCGCUACCGGAGAGGAGACGGAUCUCUGAACCUUCUAUACAUUUUCUCUCUCCCCACCCCACUCUUCGGGUCUGGAUCGAUAUUCCCGUCGGGGGAUCGGUUGGAGUUGAAGGCACUCAAAACCGAGACUUGUCGACCUUUCCUGGAAAUAAGAACGUGCGCGGGGCGCGAGGAGGAACCGGCUGUGAACCAGUGUACCCUUGUCUACCCUCUCUCAGCCCGCGCUCGACCCGAUAAAUCCACUUGUUACAGCGCGCUUUAAAGAACCCACUUGGACCAGCCAGACGAGAUAAAUUGCGUGCUUAUAAGGAUGGUCUUAUGAAACUUUACCAACUAGGCUAUUCCAAGUAGAACCAUUUAGCGACAUUACGUGAACUUACAGUCCAGAUAGGCUAGGUGUUUACGGUAAGAAAUCUCAACGAAGAAAUCCGAGUAUUAAAAUCGCUAGUUCCGUCCUCAUGAUCUCAACACUAUACCGCCGGAGAAGCUCCUGGCGGUUUACGUCACUGGUAACGAGUCUAGACAACCUAUGGUGAUUUUUAGUGACUUCGACAUACAAGGAUAUACGAAUUCGGUUCUGCGGCUAAAUUAGUGACUCACGGACAUAUGGUCUGUAGGCGCAGGGGAUUUAGUGCCAGAACAACACCGCCUCUCCAGAGCGCGUUCUCCCCGGGAGAGAUUGGAUAGAGCGGUCAGAGUCUGAGGAAUGCGGGCACUGUUUCCCUGGAUCACCACCUCACCUGCGGAGACUCUCCGCUGCACACACCAAAUUGAACGUUGACCGGGUGACGCAAGCAGUCAUGUUGAGGCAAAUCCUGCUGAAUUCCACCAACGCACCGGACUUCGACUUAGGGCUGGCCCAUCAGACGCACGCGUCUGGGUCCGUGAACGCAUCUAACGGCUCGGUGAGCAUGGCGGGCCUGCUCAGGCCCACGGAUAACAGGGGUGGACUGCGGGAGGGCGGAGAGAUGAACAAACCAGACCUGGCAACCUACGUGGUGAUCUGUCUGGUUCUGUUUCUGCUCGUGCUGCUCAUCGUCUUCUUCAUCAACUGUCAGCUGAGAACCUCCUUUUUCGCCUCCAUGCCCUACGAUAGGUCUCUCAGAGAGGCCCGGACAUCCUACAAGUAGAACCCGUUACCCCAUCGGGUGGUAACAUUUGUACCAGGACUGGGUAACUUGUGUUAUCGAAUGUAGUCAUGGAGGAAUUUACGAUUUUUGCCAACUGCAUGGUCCAAACGCUGUGCGUAACCGUUAAGUGUUAAUUUGGCACAAUGAGAUAGAGGCCUAUUACGCACCAUGUUCCAAACUGGACUAAUGUGAUUAUGUGCAUAUAAAUGUUUAUGUUUGUUUGUAUAUACAACAUUUUGUAUAACUGCACUGUAAUGAAUUUGCGCUCUUAUGUAGGCCUGAUGUGUAAUUCUGCCGCUUAAAGUUUCAUUCCUUGUCCUGUGUAAAACCAUGAUUAAAUAUAUAUGAUAAAUAUAUGAACAACAUAUGGUGAUGAUGAUAAUGUGAUGGGAUGAAACGGAUUGAUAGUUGAAUGUCCCAGAGACAAAGCGAGGUUUCAUGACUGCAAUCCUUGCUGAUCACGUGCUUUCUUUUAUUUUUUUGUAAUUAAGCCUUCACUCACAAUAUACGAGCGUAAUUUCUCGCGGAAUGAAUGGCUUAACGCUGAUAUAAAUCGCCCAAGCCAAAUUGGUUAUCUUUUGGUUUUACACCGAGGUAAAAUGUGUUUUAUAUUAGAUAUUUGGUUUUCAAAGCAUGCCAUGACUGACAAUUGUAUAUUUUGAAUCAGGGGAGACCUUUUUGGUCUGUAAUUUGUGAGAGAAGAAAAAUAGAUUCGGAUUUCAAUCUUCAAUAGAUCUUAUUCAAAGCAGUGCCAUGAACAUGAGAUAUUCUGAAUCUACACCUUUAUUUUUUAUUAUUCUGAUUUCAAUAAAUCAUAAACUAAGCCUACCACCACUAUGGAAAGGAUAUAUUCUCAAUCAGGGGAGGAUGGAG